rnacentral:rRNA from 1 species
AAGCUCGUAGUUGAAUUUCGAAUGUGGCUGGGCGGUCCACCUCACGGUGUGUACUGUCUGGCUGUGUUCUCUUUCUUGGUGAGCCGGCAUGCCCUUUACUGGGUGUGUUGGGGAACCAGGACGUUUACCUUGAGAAAAUUAGAGUGUUCAAAGCAGGCCUACGCCCGAAUACAUUAGCAUGGCAUAAUAAAAUAGGACGUGCGGUUCUAUUUUGUUGGUUUCUAGAGCCGCAGUAAUGAUUAAUAGGGAUAGUUGGG